GCGAACGGGUGAGUAACACGUGGGCAAUCUGCCCUGCAUUCUGGGACAAGCCUUGGAAACGAGGUCUAAUACCGGAUACGACGCAUCUCCGCAUGGGGUGUGCGUGGAAAGCUUUGGCGAUGCAGGAUGAGCCCGCGGCCUAUCAGCUUGUUGGUGGGGUGAUGGCCUACCAAGGCGACGACGGGUAGCCGGCCUGAGAGGGCGACCGGCCACACUGGGACUGAGACACGGCCCAGACUCCUACGGGAGGCAGCAGUGGGGAAUAUUGCACAAUGGGCGAAAGCCUGAUGCAGCGACGCCGCGUGAGGGAUGACGGCCUUCGGGUUGUAAACCUCUUUCAGCAGGGAAGAAGCGCAAGUGACGGUACCUGCAGAAGAAGCACCGGCUAACUACGUGCCAGCAGCCGCGGUAAUACGUAGGGUGCGAGCGUUGUCCGGAUUUAUUGGGCGUAAAGAGCUCGUAGGCGGCUUGUCGCGUCGGAUGUGAAAGCCCGGGGCUUAACUCCGGGUCUGCAUUCGAUACGGGCAGGCUAGAGUGUGGUAGGGGAGAUCGGAAUUCCUGGUGUAGCGGUGAAAUGCGCAGAUAUCAGGAGGAACACCGGUGGCGAAGGCGGAUCUCUGGGCCAUUACUGACGCUGAGGAGCGAAAGCGUGGGGAGCGAACAGGAUUAGAUACCCUGGUAGUCCA
rnacentral:rRNA from 2 species